rnacentral:rRNA from 1 species
GACGAACGCUGGCGGCGUGCCUAAUACAUGCAAGUCGAGCGCAGGAAAUCGACGGAACCCUUCGGGGGGAAGUCGACGGAAUGAGCGGCGGACGGGUGAGUAACACGUAAAGAACCUGCCCUCAGGUCUGGGAUAACCACGAGAAAUCGGGGCUAAUACCGGAUGGGUCAUCGGACCGCAUGGUCCGAGGAUGAAAGGCGCUCCGGCGUCGCCUGGGGAUGGCUUUGCGGUGCAGUAGCUAGUUGGUGGGGUAAUGGCCCACCAGGGCGACGAUGCAUAGCCGACCUGAGAGGGUGAUCGGCCACACUGGGACUGAGACACGGCCCAGACUCCUACGGGAGGCAGCAGUAGGGAAUCUUCCACAAUGGACGAAAGUCUGAUGGAGCAACGCCGAGUGAACGAUGAAGGCCUUCGGGUCGUAAAGUUCUGUUGUAAGGGAAGAACAAGUGCCGCAGGCAAUGGCGGCACCUUGACGGUACCUUGCGAGAAAGCCACGGCUAACUACGUGCCAGCAGCCGCGGUAAGAC